GUCCGUCGGGCGGGCUAGACCGCAGCGGGCGCGAGCGGGCCCGCCCAUCCGGGCCUCUGCGGCUGCGCGAGCCGGUGCGGCGACAGGGGUUGAUGGCGUCCCUUCUCCAUCUCUUGCGCUUUUGUCACCCGUGAGCCGAGCGGCAGAACUCGCUUGGAGUUUUUACUUCCAGUCAACGCUGAAGGCCAUCUGUAGAGAUAGAGGAACAUUUUAAAAUCCAGCGGCGAGAGCUCCAGAGAAGGAAACUGCAAAGAAGUGCCACAAGGUGGUGAUCUUCACACAUCGUCAGAGAGGAAACUUGCAUCACAUUUGAAAGGGUCUUAGGAAUUCUGGACACUUUUCUCAGACAUGGAAGGAAGCCCCCUAAAUUCUUUGGUGUUCCAGGGUAUCUGAUGCACUCCUCUGAACUCCAUGGGCCCCAGGCACGGAUAUGGUGCACAGACAUACAUGCAGAGGAGAGGAGAAGUCAUUGGAUCCCCUGGAGCUGGAGUCACGGGAGUUGUGAGCCACCCAAUGUGUGUGCUGGGUGAACUUGUGGCCUCUGAAGAGCAGUAAGCCAGGUUUCUCUGUAUUGCUUUGGAGGCUGUCCUGGAACUUGUUCUGUAGACCAGGCUGGCCUCAAACUCACAGAGAUCAGCCUACCUCUGCCUCCUGAGUGCUGGGAUCAAAGGUGUGAACCACUACUGUCUGGAUGCUCUGGGCUUUCUUAAGUUGUUUUCUCUGAAGAUAGGCUCUCACUCCACCCCGGCUUUCUGUGUAGCUGACCCAACUAAAAAAUGGUGUUCUUUUUUUCUUUUCUACCUUCCCCCCUCAGGUAGCUGCCUGCCCUGUUUUUCUGUAUUUCUCUUUCACAAAUGUUAAUAAAAUUGUUCACAAAUUU